rnacentral:lncRNA from 1 species
CCACCUUCACCUAUUCAUUAUCCACCUAAUGUUCCAACACCUCCAAAAACUCCUUCCCCUGUAUACACUCCUCCCAAUGUUCCCACUCAAGCACCUUCACCUGCUAAUCAUCCUCCAUAUAUUCCAACUCCUCCACAAACUCCUUCCCCAGUUUAUACUCCUCCUAAUUUUCCAACGCCUCCAAAAAUACCCUCUCCUGUGUACACUCCCCCAAAAGCUCCUUCCCCUAGUAACAAUCCACCCUAUGUUCCUACACCUCCAAAAACACCUUCUCCUUCUUAUAAUCCUCCUAAUGUUCCCACUCCUCCCAAAACACCUUCACCUAUUUACACUCCACCAAAUGUUCCUACUCCUCCAAAAACACCAUCUCCUGCUUAUAGUCCUCCAAAUGCUCCUUCCCCUCAUAACCAACCAAAUGUUCCUACUCCUCCAAAAACACCAUCUCCUGCUUAUAGUCCUCCAAAUGCUCCUUCCCCUCAUAACCAACCUCCCUAUGUUCCUACACCUCCAAAAACACCUUCUCCUUCUUAUAAUCCUCCUAAUGUUCCCACUCCUCCCAAAACACCUUCACCUAUUUACACUCCACCAAAUGUUCCUACUCCUCCAAAAACACCAUCUCCUGCUUAUAGUCCUCCAAAUGCUCCUUCCCCUCAUAACCAACCUCCCUAUGUUCCUACACCUCCAAAAACACCUUCUCCUUCUUAUAAUCCUCCUAAUGUUNNN